AUAGGCCCUUCAAUUAAUUUCAUAAUAUUGCUAGAGAGCGCGGGCCGAUGGUUGAGCCGUCCAAGAGCGGCGGCGGCGCGGCGCUCCGGCGAGCGGCGGCCGGAGUCGCUCUCCCGGUUGGCGUUGUGUAUGUGAUAGAAGGCCAGGAACCCGCGCCAUUGCUCUUCUCAACAGGAGCAGGUGAGAUCUCUGACCUGUCAACGGCAAGGUCGUCUUCCUCGUCAUGGACCUUCUCUCCCUCCCAUGGCGUCGCCCACCUCCGAGGUCUGUACACUCCAUAAACCAACCUCUCCUCCUCCCAUAACGCAGCGUUGCCGGAUCUACGCCCUCCAGAGUCUGAACCCCUCCGAAUCCUCUCCGUUGCGUGUCUCUGGGGCUCAGAUUUUCUUACUGAAGAAAUAACAGAAGCAAUCGAUGGAAUAACUCAACAACAUCUCAGGUGUGCUCCGAACCUCACUGCCAAAGCAAAAUUCUAUUGUUUUCACUAGUAAGCAAGUGUUACCUAUAAAUCACACAUGCCAACUCGUUGAUUCAGAACAUCACUAGUAUGUAAUGUAAACUCUGUAUAUCAGUAUAUGAUGUGUGCAUCCUACUGGCUUGUGUAACUCUAAAGUAAAUAAAUAUAACACCAUUAUCACCCAUACUUACAGUGAUUCAAA